rnacentral:rRNA from 1 species
GAGAGAGCGGCGUACGGGUGCGGAACACGUGUGCAACCUGCCUUUAUCUGGGGGAUAGCCUUUCGAAAGGAAGAUUAAUACUCCAUAACAUAUUGAACGGCAUCGUUUAAUAUUGAAAGCUCCGGCGGAUAGAGAUGGGCACGCGCAAGAUUAGCUAGUUGGUGAGGUAACGGCUCACCAAGGCGAUGAUCUUUAGGGGGCCUGAGAGGGUGAUCCCCCACACUGGUACUGAGACACGGACCAGACUCCUACGGGAGGCAGCAGUGAGGAAUAUUGGUCAAUGGGUGCAAGCCUGAACCAGCCAUCCCGCGUGAAGGACGACUGCCCUAUGGGUUGUAAACUUCUUUUGUAUAGGGAUAAACCUACCCUCGUGAGGGUAGCUGAAGGUACUAUACGAAUAAGCACCGGCUAACUCCGUGCCAGCAGCCGCGGUAAUACGGAGGGUGCAAGCGUUAUCCGGAUUUAUUGGGUUUAAAGGGUCCGUAGGCGGACUUAUAAGUCAGU